AACCACCCUACACACUCACAUACAAAACAAUUCAAUUCAAUUCUUCUACUUUACUUUAUUUCAUUCAAUCACAAAUUAACAAAACGGCGCACAAUCUCGAUCCUUGUCAUCCUCUCUCAUUGGCCGCUCUUAAAUCCCCUGUACGCUAUAAAACACCAAAACCCAACCACCCUACACACUCACAUACAAAACAAUUCAAUUCAAUUCUUCUACUUUACUUUAUUUCAUUCAAUCACAAAUUAACAAAACAAAAACUUGUUGUUUUUCAGUGAAAAAACAAGCAAUGGCAGGUAGAGGAAAAACCUUAGGUUCAGGUGCGGCUAAGAAAUCUCAAUCACGUAGUAGCAAAGCGGGUCUUCAAUUUCCCGUUAAUCGUAUCGCCCAUUUUCUGAAAGCGGGUAAAUAUGCUGAACGGGUCGGAGCUGGAGCUUCGGUUUACCUUGCUGCUGUUCUUGAAUACUUUGCUGUUGAGGUACUUGAAUUUGCUGGAAAUGCGGCUAGGGAUAACAAGAAGACUAGGAUUGUUCUGAGGCAUAUUCAAUUGGUUGUGAGGAACGAUGAGGAACUGAGCAAGUUGCUUGGCGAUGUUACGAUUGCUAAUGGUGGUGUUAUGCCAAGCAUUCACAGCCUUUUGCAUCCAAAGAAGGCUGGUAGCUCCUCGAAACCAGUUGCUGAUGAGGAUUAAAUGGACGAUCUUGCGUUAGAUUGUUUGGCUUUAUUAGUUUAGUUAAAUUAGGUUAUGCAAUUAAGUAGUGUCGACAUCGCUCAAACCCUUAAUGUUAUUUCCCUUAGUUUUUUUAGUUGUUAAAAAAGUCUAUGUUUAGUGUGAAUACAAAUCAGUGAACCAAUGAAAUAAACACCAUUUUCCUUUUUCUAGUUCUGUCCAGUUCAGUGUCUCCUUGUAUUGAUAGAACCCUUUAUUCAUGAAAAGUUUAGCCUAUGAAGAUGGUCUUUAUAUAGAAAUUUGGAAUGUUGUUCCUGUUUUCUUUAAGCAUAUUAAUUGAAGUUGUUCUUAUACAAA